UAUAAAAUGACUGUUGAGAAAGUAGUUAAAAGGAAUCACAUAAUUUAGCAAAGGAGAAAGAGUGAAGAACUUGAAAUAGCCAAUGAUUAAAUUUAGGUCCCUGUUAUUGGAAUUAAUCUUGUACUAAUCUGUGUACUCACUUUGUAACAAAAUCACAUUAAGGCUCCAUAAAUACUACCUGUGGUAUGUAUAUCUGGGUAUUACAAAAUAAUUUUCAAACAUUCAUAAUCCUGCUCCUUUUACAGGACACGAAAGCAAACCUCAGUCCUGUUUCAAUAUGAAAAUUUCUAAAGUCAUAAACGUUUGCCUAGCUGGGGAAUUGAGAACCAACAGAAAUACUGUCUCCUUUCCAUAGCAUUUUAAAAUAGAGCAAAGCUUCAUAACUAUCCAAAAUGAUUCAUUGAUUCACAGUCACUUUGAUCCAUAGCUUUUGAGCUGAACAAGUCAAAUAACUUUAGUUCCUCAAAGUCAAGUCUUUGUCAUGUCUGACUUUGCCAAGGCCCCAAUACAUUUCAAGAUUCAUCAGCUAACUCUAAGGACAUGGUUCCAAAUCAAUGCCAAGGACUCUCCAUUGCAUGACUGGCUCCUCGGACUGAACUUGCUUACUAACUAACGUGCCUAUAGUAAGGGAAGGCAGGACUCAGCUCUUUUUUCAGUUUGUGUACCUAGUUCUUGGAAUUGGGAAUAUCACAUGAGUAGCAAGAAAAAAAAUAAAUUCCUUACUUCCUGAACUACUUGGAAGAAAGAAAACAUAAUUUUGUCAACUGAAAGCCCAAGGAGGUGGGCAUAUAUACUAAAAGGAAGCCAAAGAGGAGUAAAGAUUUAAAUCCUCUAGUUAAAACAUUAUAAAAAAAAAAUCUCUUUCGUGCAUAGACAGAACUACUUGGGAGGGUAUAAAUGUGUGAGGUGAGAGGAAAUCAUGGAAUAGUCUCAUCAGAACCACAUAUCCUUUGCCUUAACAAAAUUUUUUCCAUCAAUAUAAACAGAAGUGAGCUGAAGAAAGGCUUUCACUAUUCAUAGCAGAAACAGACUUACACCUGGAAUGCUGGAUUCCUAGAGGACCAUUGUCUCAUUGCCUCAUGGCUCCUCAAUGAUGAUUUAAUGUGAGCAAACAUCCAGUUAUUUUAAGAAGGUUGGAGCUGGAUUCCACAUGUAAUGAGACUAAUAAGUUGUAUUUAGUCACACUUACAUUAUUUCCAGUAACAUGCAAGCAGUGUCUGGGAAAAAGGAAGGUGAGUCAUAUUGGACUUGCCCAAGCACUAUGGAACUGGCCUAAAGAUACCAGUAGGGAAACACAAAGACAGUGAUAGAAAGUCAUUCCAUUGAUUCUCAUUGGUGAUUUAAAUCUCUGUGUGAGGUACAUACCUAGUUAAUAGUGCUAAUCUCUAUUCCACCAUACACUUCUAAAUAACUCAUUUCUGUCUUCUUUAACCUUCCUCACCAGGUAACCUAGUCUUGUAAUCACUUUUGAAUUCUCAGUGUUACGUUCAUUUAAGGAAUGAAAAGUGAGUAGAGUACUUUUAAGGUAGUUCUCAUAUGAAACGUUUUGAAAACUGCAAUCUAACGUAUAAAAACAAGAUGUCUUUUUUAGCUGAUAAAAAUUAUUGCAGAAAGCUAGCCAAAAUGAAUUGCUUUGGCUAUAAUUCUUCAAACAAUACUAAGUUUCUUUAUUUGGUUAGUUAAAUUUGCAAGCUACCUAAAAUUUCCCACAUUAUUAUCUCAAGAAGACAAAUUGAUAGCUUUUUUAUUUAGACAACUCUCAAUAUCAAUGCAAAUCCUAUGGAGGAAAAGCAAUUUCUAUUUCAGAGCAAUUUCUAUUCAGGAUAUUCAACAGUGUACUUAACAGGGGAAGAGAAUAGAUGCUGUGUGCUGGUAUCUUAUAACCUUUGGUCAAGCAGUACUGGGAAAUUUCAACAGACUUACUUAACCAGAGAUAAAACUAAGCAGCAAAAUGUCCUGCAAAUAAAAACGAAAGAAUUAAAACAGAAUGAGGAGUUAUCCGCAACAAACAAUACUAUAUACCUAACAUCCUAGAUCAAGCAGAAGGGAUUUGUUAGGAGACCAGAGUCGGCCCCUGCUUUGUGGGUGCUGUAAAUGAACACUUAGAAGUUUCUUUAGGUAAAGAUAUAGGCACAGUUCUCAGAAAGCCAGCCAAAAUAGCUAAGGGAAAGGAGGAAGGCCACAUGUGGAACUAAUUACUCAUGCAGAGGCCAUGACAAAGAACAUUUCUCCAGACUUUUCAUGGAGGCUUCACUUUCAGGAAGUUGCUAUAAUUACUGCUCAAGUCUAGAGUAGCCUGCAAGCCGCUGAAAGAUCCAGCAAAGGAGGAGGAGGGCAAGAGAGAAAAGGGGGGGGGGGCUGAGGAGAGGAAAUAAAAACAGCUUAUCUGCUUUUUGACUAGUGAAAUACCAGAAAAUAAAGUACCACAGGAAAGCUUUGGGAUGAAAAAAAAAAGGGGGGUAUCCAAAUGCACUCAGCCUUCCAGGGUUGUACUUUUUGUUCACUGUUUUAUCUACUCUCUAUCUUCAAAUGACUUCUCUAGCCUGGAUGGGACAGCAAAUUUGUACUUGUCUUAACUCACUUUCGGUUGGCCACAGCAGAACUGUACAUCUUGACUUUUUUUUUUUUUUUUUUUUUACAGCUUUUCCAUACUGGGGCCCACUUCCUGCCCAGUUGAGGAAAAAAAUCUGGCCUGAAGAUGAAAUGACUGCUUAACAUUACACGAAAACAUCUGGUACCAUUUUAUGCACAGACCCAUGUCUGAGAGCAGGCGAUUCCAGCGGUCUCUCCAGCGGCACAGCGCAUACCCCGACCUCCCCAGGGUGACAUCAUCCCAUAUAUGGACUCUCCAGCCCAGCCCUCCCCCUUUUCCUGGUCCUAAAUUCAUUGCCAGAUCCCUAGUCUGCAGCAAAUGUGCCACGUCAAGACGGGAAAUCACAGCCUUGAGUGUGUGGCUCAGUCGGUGCAGAAGAAUUCAGGGGGGAAGCCGGUUCAACCUGGAUGCAGAGGAAGGCAGGCUCUUCCCCAGGACCAGGAGAGGAGUUUCAGGACUUCGAUGGAAGCUUCUGGAGAUCCUGCUCCGUCGCCCCAGUGUUCAGACUACCUGUUCAGGACAAUGCCGUUGUACAGUAGUCUGCACAUUGGUUAGACUGGGCAUGGGAUAGCAACGCCAUGGACUGCUGGGGACAAGAUUUGCUGUUUCCUGGGAGAAUAUAUUUGUUUGCUCCUUUGUUGAAUCUCAUAUCCAGUGUUUUUCUUCACAGGUUUUGCCCACUAGGGACCAAGAAACUCUCGAGGUCACCGCUGAGAAAGGACGGCUCAAGGGAAGACGGGCGGGGAUGAGUUUUACUCAGGAGAUGAACAGUACAUAAAAGUGUCAUUGGCGUGAGUCCAGGAGUAGAAAUACAAAAAUAUACCCCACCAAGAGGUAACCAAGAAUUCGUUAUAACAUGUUCCAUGGAGAUCUAAAAACCCAUCUUCGAGACAAACUUUAAACACAGAGACAGGAAGUAUUCUUAACUUUAAGGUACAGGAACGAAAUUAAAAAUCAGAGUUAAAGGAUUUAUGAACCUCUGCUGAAUGAAAGUGCAAUAGUAGUCUCUGUGCUGGGUACACACAAGGAUACAUAAAUAAUUAUAAAAAUGCAAUGUCUACAUCUGGGGUAAUUAGAAUAAUGCUUAAUUUUAUUUUGUUAUUACUUGAUAAGGUGACACACAAAUAUUUUAGGAAUCAUGGAAUUAAUUCCAGAAGAAAGUAGCCCAAGUGAAGAUCUUCAACUAAAAUUGCCUCUGGGUAUAAUGAUAGGUGUAAGUAUUAAAAUUAAAACACUGUUAUGGGGUCAUAAAGAGAAAGCUGUUUGCUGUUUGUAUCCAAAUUGCAUUUCAUGGAGAUUUCAUACUUAUUUUUCUUGUGGAUGAUGGGUAAAUUAGACUAGGCACUGGGUUAAAAGCAUGUUUUCAGCCGUCUAAGAGAAAGAAAAUUCAGAGCCUUCGCUUUCAACACCAUCAUUCUGUAACUGGAAGAAGAUGAAUACAAAACAGCCCAUUUAAAUUAAACAAAUCUAUUGUUUUUAAGCCAUAGAACUGAAACUCAAAGAAAGUUUGUUUAUGAUGGGACUAAGUUUCACACUGAUAGAUUUCCUAUAAUGAGUCAAUAAUUUUACAACUAUCUUUCCUAAGCUUUUGGCCCAGAUAAUAUGUUUAUGUUUUUCAAAAACCAAAAUAUACUAUCUUCCACCUCCCCCUCACCUCUAGCCUACAGACCACCCAAGUGUUUCUCUUUGUGGGAAAGUGUUUAGGCAUAAAAAUCCUAAUUGGAAAAAAAAAAACCAACUUCUCUCUUUCCUUCUUUUUUUUUCUUUUGUGGAAGCCUUAAGUUGUUGUAGAACCUAAAAAGAAAGUAUUUGGUAAAGUUUAAUAAGUCCCCCGUCCAUAAAUAUCCAUCUCCAUCGAAGCUAAAACUCUUAUCUAGAAAGGAUUUGCUCUUUAAAAUAAAUUUUACACUGUUCUAAGGGGAAUAGCCCAAACAACCCAAUAAUAACCAUGGGUCUAUCUAUAACCUAGAAAUCCCAGCUUAAAAUAACUAGGUCAGGCUCUAACCUGAGACAGGAAAUUCCUAAGACUGAAACUUUCUUCCUUUAAAUCUCUUUUUGCUUUCUUAUCCUGAAAGUUAUAUAGAUAUAAACAACUCAUCUUAUUAACAGUUUUUAAAUCAUUUUUAAUAAACAGGGAUAAUGAAGUAAAUGAAGGGAGACUAUUAAAUCUUCAUUUUGAAUUUUCUGAAUUACUGUCAUACUCAGUUUUUGGAGUUGGCUAAGUUCAAUUUACAAGAGAUUUAGAGGAUAAUUCUUUUCUUGCAUUUCAUUUUGAAGGAAUAAAAGAUAAAAAUGAAAAAAGGUAUGUGGAUGUUAAAAUAUAGUAUUAUAAAAAUGCAAUAGCUCUUUCAUAUGUACUUUGACUCAAGUUUUAAAUGAUAAUAAAAUAUUAUUCACCUUAUAGUUUGAGAGAUAAGAAAACUAAUCUCGAUUUAUAUCCUUAGUCUCUUCUUAUUUCUUAACAAGAAAAAGACCAAUUCAACAUAACUAUUUAUUGUAACUAUAUUUUUAAAAUAAGAAUUAUAAACUGUCCAAAAUUUUAAGAGUUGAAUAUGCUUCCCUCCGCCCCCAUUUUUCAGCAAGACUUUUUCUCCACUAAAAAAAAAAAAAAAAAAAAAAAAGCUUAGUGUUUUUCAGGCUCAAAAUAUUUUGGAUACUUUGUUUUAUAUUAAAGGGCAAUAUAUGAACUCACAAACAUUUCUUUUUAUUUUUUCAGGUUGCAUGCAUCAUUCCUUUAAUUGAACAGAGUAAUAAACUGGAUCAAAUUAUUUAUGGGGAGAGGGAAAACUAUACAAGCUAUAUAGUACUUGUUCAUUUCUAAUAGUGUAUCCAUGUGAGUCAUUCCAUAAUAUUUUCUGCUGGAAUGAGUGUAGUACCAACAAUGUAGUACUUCAAGUAUUUUAUACCCUCUAUCCUUGUAAUUAUUUAAUUAGUAGCCAAGUUUAUUGAAGGUUUUGAUUCUCCUGAGGGGAAAAAGGUCUUUUACUCUGAAGUGAUGUUCAGAACAGAUUAUUUAUUAUCUUGUAAUUAAAUAAACCCAGAAAAUUGCAUGGAUCAAUUCUUUGUUUAAAUUUUUUACACAAUAACUUCAUAAGACUUCAUAUGUGUAGUCCAAUGCUAUUUUCCCUGUCUCUAAGCCUAUUAUUCUCCUUAUGAAAUUUUUAUUUGCUAUUUUUCUUCAAAUUUCACAAUUAAAGGUAAAUAACAAAGGACUUAUUUUAUUUAAAGUUCCUUUAAAAUACUCCUAAAUAUUUUCAUUGGAUAAUAUUGUGUAUUUUGGUAGAUUUUAAAGAAAUCCCACUUCUUAGAAUUGCAAUUCUGGAUAGUCUGGAUUUUAAAAGGGAAUGGAAACUAUUAAAUACCUCUACAGUGUGAACUGCUCCUUGAUAUUAAAAGAGCCAAAAAGUCUUAACUCACCAGGGUUAUAUUUUAUAUCUAUAUAUUCUAGCCUCUAUAAGUCAUAAGGUUUUGAAUUUGGGAGUGUGAAAUGAACUUUCAUUCCCUGUGUAUAGAGGACUACUUUGUAACUAUAUUUCACUAACAAUGUCCAAAAUAUAGCCUGACCAUCACCAUAGAUAAGAGCUUCUUGGAUUCUACCUUAGAUUGAUGGCAUGGCCCUCUAGUUAAUUAAGAGAGACAUAAAGCUCAGUGCCUUUUAUUUGAUUCUCAUAUCCAUACUUAGAAACUUUUCAUUUCAAAAGAAGAUGAAAAUUUUAAAUAAAUUCCUGUUGUUCAAAAAUGUAUUGGCUAAAAAAACAAAUACAUUUCCUUGCAAAAAUUCCAUUAUCAAAGCAUCAAAUACCAAAGUCCACUUAUAGUGUUACCAAAUACAUUAAACUCAUGAAUUAGUUUAAAAAUGGCUGUUGUUAACAUGUAAAUGAUAUUAUCUUCCUCUAUGGGCAUGCUGAGGGUACUUACUGACUACAAGAAAACAUGCAAAACUAUCAUCUUUAUCUUGAAUGCCAGUAUUAAAAUAUGCAUAGUUUGGGGGAAGAGGAAAGCUAUCUGGUUUAAUUAGUCUGAACUCUGACUGUAUGUGGGCUAGUAAUAACAGGAACUGGAAUUAAAAAUAAACCUUGUGUUUAAACUUUUUUCCCUUAAAAUCUUAAUGUGAGUAUUCUCUUUUGUCAGUUUUCCAUGUUAGCACAUUUGGAACAAAUGUAUAAGUGUACUUUUUGAAUAAAGUCAAAAGUCUAACUUGUUUUUAGUUCUAUAAUGUUUGAAUGUUUAAAUCUAUUGUGUGUUUUUCUCCCUUUCCUCUUCCCCUCCCAAAUCACCAAAUCUGGAAAACAGGCUGAUUGUGUCUGUCCAUGAGCAAAGGAAACCUGAAGGACCCAAGGGCCUGGCUGGACAGAGUUGUCAUGUGUCUGCCUGUCUACACUUGCUGUGCAGAACAUCCGCUCACCUGUACAGCAGGCACAGACAGGCAGUCACAUGACAACCCAGCCUGAGUGACAACCAGCCAAUGAGAGAAAGCAGCCCUCACACCAUAGCAUCUACACCAAGAGCUACAACCAAAAUGAAGGGCUUGGGGCCUGGUGUUUUCAACUGUUUGCUUAUCAAUACUAAUUCAUAUGUAUCAUUAUUUUAUUUUGAUUCAAACUAUUAAAACCCAUCCAAAGUAAAGUGAGUGGUGCCUAUGAAAUAUAAUAAAACCCAUUUCUCAAAAUGU